CAGGCUUAACACAUGCAAGUCGAGGGGCAGCAUGGUCUUAGCUUGCUAAGGCCGAUGGCGACCGGCGCACGGGUGAGUAACACGUAUCCAACCUGCCGUCUACUCUUGGACAGCCUUCUGAAAGGAAGAUUAAUACAAGAUGGCAUCAUGAGUCCGCAUGUUCACAUGAUUAAAGGUAUUCCGGUAGACGAUGGGGAUGCGUUCCAUUAGAUAGUAGGCGGGGUAACGGCCCACCUAGUCUUCGAUGGAUAGGGGUUCUGAGAGGAAGGUCCCCCACAUUGGAACUGAGACACGGUCCAAACUCCUACGGGAGGCAGCAGUGAGGAAUAUUGGUCAAUGGGCGAGAGCCUGAACCAGCCAAGUAGCGUGAAGGAUGACUGCCCUAUGGGUUGUAAACUUCUUUUAUAAAGGAAUAAAGUCGGGUAUGGAUACCCGUUUGCAUGUACUUUAUGAAUAAGGAUCGGCUAACUCCGUGCCAGCAGCCGCGGUAAUACGGAGGAUCCGAGCGUUAUCCGGAUUUAUUGGGUUUAAAGGGAGCGUAGAUGGAUGUUUAAGUCAGUUGUGAAAGUUUGCGGCUCAACCGUAAAAUUGCAGUUGAUACUGGAUAUCCUGAGUGCAGUUGAGGCAGGCGGAAUUUGUGGUGUAGCGGUGAAAUGCUUAGAUAUCACGAAGAACUCCGAUUGCGAAGGCAGCCUGCUAAGCUGCAACUGACAUUGAGGCUCGAAAGUGUGGGUAUCAAACAGGAUUAGAUACCCUGGUAGUCCACACGGUAAACGAUGAAUACUCGCUGUUUGCGAUAUACAGCAAGCGGCCAAGCGAAAGCGUUAAGUAUUCCACCUGGGGAGUACGCCGGCAACGGUGAAACUCAAAGGAAUUGACGGGGGCCCGCACAAGCGGAGGAACAUGUGGUUUAAUUCGAUGAUACGCGAGGAACCUUACCCGGGCUUAAAUUGCAGAUGAAUUACGGUGAAAGCCGUAAGCCGCAAGGCAUCUGUGAAGGUGCUGCAUGGUUGUCGUCAGCUCGUGCCGUGAGGUGUCGGCCUAAGUGCCAUAACGAGCGCAACCCUUGUUGUCAGUUACUAACAGGUUCCGCUGAGGACUCUGACAAGACUGCCAUCGUAAGAUGUGAGGAAGGUGGGGAUGACGUCAAAUCAGCACGGCCCUUACGUCCGGGGCUACACACGUGUUACAAUGGGGGGUACAGAGGGCCGCUACCACGCGAGUGGAUGCCAAUCCCCAAAACCUCUCUCAGUUCGGACUGGAGUCUGCAACCCGACUCCACGAAGCUGGAUUCGCUAGUAAUCGCGCAUCAGCCACGGCGCGGUGAAUACGUUCCCGGGCCUUGUACACACCGCCCGUCAAGCCAUGGGAGCCGGGGGUACCUGAAGUGCGUAACCGCGAGGAGCGCCCUAGGGUAAAACUGGUGACUGGGGCUAAGUCAUAAC
rnacentral:rRNA from 1 species